rnacentral:tRNA from 1 species
GAGGCUGGGGCUCAGUGGCAGAGCACUUGCCUAGCAUGCGUGAGGCACUGGGUUCGAUCCCCAGCACCACA